rnacentral:rRNA from 1 species
UUGACCUCGGAUCAGGACGGAAUACCCCCUGAACUAAAACAUAUCAAAA